GGGCGCAUAGCUCAGCUGGGAGAGCACCUGCCUUACAAGCAGGGGGUCAUAGGUUCGAGCCCUAUUGCGCCCACCA
rnacentral:tRNA from 21 species